rnacentral:rRNA from 1 species
AUUGAACGCUGGCGGAAUGCUUUACACAUGCAAGUCGAACGGCAGCACGGGGGCAACCCUGGUGGCGAGUGGCGAACGGGUGAGUAAUACAUCGGAACGUGCCCGGUCGUGGGGGAUAACGUAGCGAAAGUUACGCUAAUACCGCAUACGAUCUGAGGAUGAAAGCGGGGGACCUUCGGGCCUCGCGCGAUCGGAGCGGCCGAUGUCAGGUUAGGUAGUUGGUGGGGUAAAGGCCUACCUAGCCGACGAUCUGUAGCUGGACUGAGAGGACGACCAGCCACACUGGGACUGAGACACGGCCCAGACUCCUACGGGAGGCACCAGUGGGGAAUUUUGGACAAUGGGCGCAAGCCUGAUCCAGCCAUUCCGCGUGCAGGACGAAGGCCUUCGGGUUGUAAACUGCUUUUGUAUGGAACGAAAAGGCUCUGGCUAAUACCUGGGGCUCAUGACGGUACCGUAAGAAUAAGCACCGGCUAACUACGUG